rnacentral:rRNA from 1 species
UUGUCGAUUCCUGCAAUAGCAGAACGACCCGCUAACAUGUCAAAAUACUGGGUGAGCAGCGGGGUGCUUUGAGUGCGCUGUCUGGGAACCCCUGGACGAUGGGCACUUUUUGGUGCAAAUCGGCCAACAAAAUUAAUUGGGCGUGGAAUGCGCCAAGGAAAAUCAAUAGAAUUGUACGUUAGCUUCCCGUUCGCGGGCAGUGGCGUCUUUCCGAAACACAAACGACUCUCGGCAACGGAUAUCCCGGCUCUCGCAUCGAUGAAGAACGUAGCGAAAUGCGAUACUUGGUGUGAAUUGCAGAAUCCCGUGAACCAUCGAGUCUUUGAACGCAAGUUGCGCCCGAAGCCACUUAGGUUGAGGGCACGUCUGCCUGGGUGUCACGCAUUGCCUUGCCCCCUACCGCGCGCUCAUCGAGCUGUGCUGGUUCGGGGCGAAUACUGGCCUCCCGUGCAAAUUUGCGCGGCUGGCACAAAAAUGAGUCUCCGGCGACAGAUGUCGUGACAUUGGUGGUUGUAAAAAGACCCUCUUUUCAUGUUGCGCGAAUAUCUGUCACCUUAGGGAGCUUGAGGACCCUUUAGCGCCACCCUCUCGGAGCGCUCCAACUGUGACCCCA